rnacentral:lncRNA from 1 species
CAACAUCACUGGCAUCCCUGAGUAUGAGAGUUCAGAAGAAACUUAGAGGCUAUUGUCUGAUUCAAUCCUUGCAGCUUACAAAAAGAAAUGUGGGAGCAGGCACUGCGUGACUAGUCUGAGGUUACUCAGGAAGUUAGAGGGAGAGCUGCAGUCAGGGUCACCUCUCUUUACUGCUAGCUGUGUGCUCUUUCUACUGCACCCUCAGCAUAAAACAUCUCCCAAUCCAGGAACAAGGUCUACCUCAUAGGUGGGCACAGCAGCGUGAUCACUCUCUCAGUCAUCUAUACUCCUCCUUUACUUUGACCAAAGACACAGGAAGGGACCUUUUGCCCCACAUAAAACACCUCUCAAAGGCUUGGCAACAACAAUAGAUAAUAGAGAGCAUUGGCCUAAGACCAAUGUUUUGACCAUGAUGUCAAAACAAUAUUUUAUUUCAGCAAAGAAAAGCUAUGUCACAAGUGGAUUAUUAUUACUAAUAAUCAGAGUAGUGGUACUUGCGAAUAACUUGGUUUCAUACUCACACUUGGACAACUAUGCACACUGAGUAUAACUGACCUUAUGAGAACAUCAUUCUCACUAAGAUUAUGAUGUGCUUUCUUGUGUGGGAACUAUACAUAAUAUUGUGUGUACCCUUGGGAGGAUGUCCUGCCUGUGAUGUUGUCUGUCAGGGAAGAAGAGUGGUUGAGAACUGAGGAUAUAUUAAACAUUUACUCCCAGAUUUUUCAAGAUUUCUGUUAAGCCAGAUCAGAAGAAAGCCAUCUAUUUGGAUUGCAUCACUCUAACCCC